GACGAACGCUGGCGGCGUGCUUAACACAUGCAAGUCGAACGGAAAGGCCCUGCUUUUGUGGGGUGCUCGAGUGGCGAACGGGUGCGUAACACGUGAGUAACCUGCCCUUGACUUUGGGAUAACUUCAGGAAACUGGGGCUAAUACCGGAUAGGAGCUCCUGCUGCAUGGUGGGGGUUGGAAAGUUUCGGCGGUUGGGGAUGGACUCGCGGCUUAUCAGCUUGUUGGUGGGGUAGUGGCUUACCAAGGCUUUGACGGGUAGCCGGCCUGAGAGGGUGACCGGCCACAUUGGGACUGAGAUACGGCCCAGACUCCUACGGGAGGCAGCAGUGGGGAAUAUGGCACAAUGGGCGGAAGCCUGAUGCAGCAACGCCGCGUGCGGGAUGACGGCCUUCGGGUUGUAAACCGCUGUCGCCUGUGACGAAGCGUGAGUGACGGUAAUGGGUAAAGAAGCACCGGCUAACUACGUG
rnacentral:rRNA from 1 species